CAUUGACAUAAUGAAACAUUACCUUACCCGAACCUCCUCUCUAUCUCAACCCAUUUCUGCGAGUAAACUAAAGGCCUCUCUCUCACAUAAGCUCUCAUCCCUCAGCGAGUAAACGGCUUUUCUCGGUCCCUCUUAUAUAAGCUCGAAGCUCCAUGCCUCUGCGAGUGAAGGUCUCUCUCUCAGAAGCUCUCACAGAAACUCCCAUCUCUCUGCGAGUAAACGGCUCUCCUCUCUAGCUCUCACAGAAGCACAGAGCCCUCUCAGAAGCAUUGUUAGAAGAAGCACGGAGCCUCUCAGAAGCUCAACUCCCUCUCACAGGUAUGAACCCUGAAGAAGCAAAUUGUAAGGAACAAUCUGACAAGAAAAAAAAAAACUUUAUAUGGACUCCAAGUGAAGACGACUAUUUUCUUGACCUCAUGGGCGAGGAGGUCAAGGCAAAGCGAAAGGUGGGAGCUACUUUCACCACAAUAGCUUCGAGGAUUAUGGUAAAGGCAAUAAAAGCCAAAUAUUGUGAAGAAGUUGAAAAGGAAAAAUUAAGAAAAUAGAAUAAGAACCUUAAAGGCUGAUUACAGCCAUGUGAAACAAUUGAUCGGGUGGAAUGGCGUCAAAAAGAUGGUGAUAACCGAUGAAGCUGUUUGGGAGACUUUCGUUGUGACCAAUGCUUGAGCAUCAAAAUUUAGAAGAGGAUGACAAGAAGGGUUGUUAUCAAUGAGGAGUUAAUGUUUGAGAGAAGAGAAUGACGAAAUGCUCGUUGGAGGCGUAGGAGAAAUACUCCAAAUGCGGAUGAUACCGAUACCCCUCUAGGAUUGCGUGAAGAGAUUGCUAAGAUGUGAGAACGCCAUCGAGAUAGGCACUAGGUUGUGGUAGUUUGUAGGUCAUCUAUAUUAUGUUUUUGAAGGAAUUGACACUUCAUGGUUAUGUUGUGGUAGUGGGUUUUUUUUUUUUUAACAAGUUGUGAUUGAAAUAUUUGCAAAUCUCUCAUCUCCCCAUUGGCUAUCCAUGCAUUAUUUGCUGAGGACUGUUCUCUCUAAUCAAUGCAGUCUUGGUGCUGGUACAUGAGAUGUUAUUGUGCUGAUUAAU